GUCUGGGGCUUUCUGGGCCUCCCAUGUUCCAUGGGUCAUCCAAGAGAGUCACAAAGAUGACUCAGUAGCCCUGAUACUUACCCAGUGCUAGCAGUGGGAGUGGAACUGCUGAGGACCUGAAGGUCAAUAAUGUAGCCUUUUGGGACUCUGAGGAACUGUGCUGGUCAGCUUUCCCUCACAGUGACAACAUACCCGAGAUCAUCAACAGGGAGGAAGGAGAGGUUUAUCUGGGCUCAAGGCUUCAGAGGUUUUAGUCCAUGGUUACCUUUGGGCCUGUGGCAGGGCAGGACAUCUUGGCAGAAGCACCUGCUGGGGAAGCAGCUCACCUCACAGGGAGGGGCAGGGCCAAUCUCCCCAUCCAGGGCUGGCCCUGGUUACCUGGCUUCCUCCCUCAGGCCCACCUCCUAAAGGCUCCCCCAGUUCCAGAGAGGCUCCAGGCUGGACAGAGCCUUCAGCAUGGGCCUUUCGGGGGACACGCCUCCAGGCCACGGUGGGAGUGUCCUGCAGAAGCAGCAAGCUCCUCAAGGCUGCAGUGCCUCUCCCACGCUGGCCCCGGGGGGGGGGGGAAGACUCCACUUCCCAGCGAGGGAAGGAAUUACUGCAGCCUGCAGGUUGUCACAGGGAGUAGGAGGCAGGGGUCUCUUCUUGCUCAUUUGCUGGUGGCAUCCAGAAUGCAGCAGCAGGUGUAGCGAUGCCAGGACAGCAUCAGGCUAGCAAUGGCAGUGGUGGCAUCUGGCUCAGACUGUGGGAUCUGGGAUGUGGGCUGCAUUUCCAGCUUGCCGGUUCUGUGACUCUGCCUAUUUCCUGAACCCAGUUUUCCAGCCUUCUCACUUACUUUGGAGGUGCGCGAUAUCCUUUCAAUAAACCCUUCUGCUUGACUUCAUGAGCACGAGCUUCUGAAGUUUGUCUCUCAGGACCCUUCCUGACACCCCAGCCAGUAAGAGAAUCACUAAGGACUGUACUGCAUAGUUUGCCAAAGAGGAGGUGCAUGUGGAUAAUGAACACCUGAGAAAUAUUCCACCCACCAACAAUAAAAGCAAAACACCCCUACGUUGAACAGCAACAACUGGGACCCCCACCCACAUACACUUCUUUUUUUAACUAUUACAUAAACAGACUAAUCAGAGCUGCAGAGACAAGCUGUCUGAGACUGCUGGUGGGAUCAUAAACAGGUCUGGCCUGCCUUCUGGAGAUUUUUUGGCAGUAUGUACCAAGAAUCUUAAAGUGGGUCAUUCCUUUACUGCCACUUCUGGGAUGCCAGCUGGUGCGUAUACUUAGAAGUGUGGAUAGAAAUAUUUGCACAAAGGCAUUCAUGCCACAGUUACAGUUCAGCAACAACUGGAAACUGGAAUGAUAUGAGUCAAUCAAGGUGUGAUUUAUGCAGCCACUAAUAAAGGUUUGUAAAGAACUAAGGAGACAGGACAACCUGUCUAGACUAAAUGAUAGAUUAUUAGUUAUAAUAAUGAUAGAUUAUUAUAAAUUAAUUAUAAAUUAGUUAUAAAUUAUUAGAUUAAAAUGAUAGAUUAUUAGUUCUAAAUUAACCAAAAACUAUAUACAUGGCAGGGAUCAGUCAUGACCCCAUCAGAAAAAUGAACCACUCUAGGCAUUUCUACAAGGCAAUUUACCUUCAGAACCUCUUCACAGGUGAUGACAGCAGAGAACACUUGUUAGUUUGAGUGGCCACGGGAGGCCCUGGCCCUCCCCGAGGGCUGGAGAAACUGGGUGCCCAGUGGCUGCAUUGGGGAAUUCCUUCCCAAGGCAGAGGGGGUUUAAUAUCCCAGCUCCUGCCUUCAUUCCACUCUCCAGUCUUGCCAGUGCCUCCACUUGGCCACAUCUAGGUGCAAGCCAGUGGAUCCUGGGACAGGAAAUGAAACAAAGUGGGUGGACGGUGACUGCUGCACAGCGGGACCUGGAUAUGUGAAACAAUGCAUGUUAAGUGCUGUGAAAGUUGUCCUCUUGAUACCCCGUUACUGACGAGUCCUGCUUCCUCACAUGGUCAAGGGUGACACAGAGAAGCGCGCCCAGGCAAGCAUAGAAAGAGGGGUUUAUUUAAAAAGGGGUCAUAGUCUUCUCCCGGGAGAGAGGAGGGGCCACAGCUGGAUCCUGGUAUCCCCAGAAGCGAGGUGUUCUGCCGUUUUUAUAUGUCUUAGGCUUCCUUUGUUCUCCUGCCCUCUUCCCUUACCUCUCUCCCUCCUGCUAGGUGAUUAGGCCCAGGAGAUGCUCAGGAGGGGUGGCCAGAUGGUGAGAAGAAGGAGGGCCAAAUGGAGCUGCCCCAACACUUCAAUUAGCAACUUUAUAACUCCCUUUAGGGAGGGACCAUUGCUGGGACAGGUUACCUUAGCAACAGGUUGGAGCAGGGGCAGUUCAUCUGUUAAGGGUGGAGGAAGGGCUUUGAAGGCAGUAGCAUUUCAGUCCCUCAGGGAAUUGGCCUCCUGGAUCCCACCUGACCUGUUUACUGGUCUAUGUUGACUGCGUGUCUGAUUCUGCCUUCACCGCCUCUGUCUUCUUGGUUUUAUUUUGAGGAGGCUCUUAUUUUCCUAUAAUCCCUAAGAUUCAAUAAUACUAUUAAAAUGGAAAAUGGCAUGUGCCUGUGGUGGAGACAACAGAUAGCAUUUUAAAGGUGACAUAUUUUAAAAGUGAUGGAUGGGAGUCUGGCCUCUCCUCCAGCCUGCCGGGGGCAGGGUCCCCCGUCAGGCGGCCUAUACACCAGUUGUGAGGUGCUCUCCUGGGAAAGGAAAACCUCAGUGCUGGGGUGUCCUCCCUCAUGCUCAGCAGGGGGCGCUCCAGCCCCACACAGUCAGGCCUCUCCCAUGGGUUGCAGGAGGCUGUGGCCAAGGCAGAACAGGAGCUUCAGGGAGAUGUCACCCUGCUGGCCAGCCUCUCCCCCAAGAGAUCUGUCCAUCUCCAUCUCAGCUGAUGCUUCGUUCCAUUUUUGGAAGCUAUUGCCAUGGUCCAUGAGAAAGCCAGUCUUGACACUAGAACUCCAGGGGCCGUCGAUGCCCCUUUGGGGUGUGUGGCACACAUGUGUUCACGUGUCCACUGUCCCUGAAUCUCACUGAGCUGAUUGUACACGGCCUCAAGGAACUUGCAUGGAGUUGCCAGUGGCACUGCUUGGGGCCCUCAGCCAUAGGUGACAUAGGGCAGCAAAUGCACCCACCAUGGCUUUCCCCAGAAGAGCCUCAGAUUGCUGUGUGCCAGGCUAUGUGGUUUUAAGUGUCUGCUGUUUCACCCAAGUGACUGCCUUGAGGCCAGACUGGGGGCUUGCUGAGCUCCAGGCUUGGUGAGAGCUGUGUUGUGAAGCAGCCAGAGGACAUUUCUGUGCUGUGAAGAUGUGUUAUCUUGAGAGCUUGGCAUCUCGGCGGGCUGCCUGGCCCUUAUCUUUGCUCUCUGGUGCACAGGCACCUGUGACGGAGUGUGCUGGGCUGCAGUUCACCUGUCUGAAGCUCCUCUGUGGCCUUCUCAGGCAGGUGGUUUUACAUACCUGUCCUCAGAGGUCAGAGGAAGUUAUUCUAGGGAGCAAGGGAACUUUCCUGGGGGAGAAUGGGUCGAACUACAAAUAGUGGACAUGGAAGAAUGCACCAAGCUCAGAUCUUGAAGGCAGCUGCUGUCCCAUGGGGAGCUGCCCUGGGCUGCCACUCACCCACAGUGAGCACCACCAACAUGCCACCCGUGCAGAAACCGGGGAGGACCUGUGUCCUGCGGUUCCACCCAAGCUGUGUGCCUCUUGUGUGUUCUGUGUGCAUGUGGUGGCGAAUUGCUGAAGACCCUUAAGAGGUCCAGGACAUGAAGAACCAUUUCAUGUGAUUCUUUAUGCUUGGCACUCUUCCUUCCCCUCACUCCCCAACUUAGACACUCCUUUUAUUCAUGUGACUCCCCCCUUCGUAAGCAUAGAAUGCUAUACUACUUUAUGCUUUUCUGUUUUGCAAGAUGAAUGAAAACUACCUAAAGAAAAAGCUUGCAUUGGUGAAAUGUAAAUGGAUUGUGAAAGCAGAAAUAUAAUUUUUACAACUCAGUUGGUAUCUAAAAAUAUAAUUUUGAAGGGUAACAAGGGCCAUGAAUGCAAUUUUAAUUGUGAAAAACCAGCAUGGUCUCAUCAAAGUCAAGUAUUUUAGGUGGUUGGUUUUAAAUAAGUGUUAUCCCAGACUGAAGAGGCUUAAUGAUGAUCUUGGAAAUGCUUAAGGUACCUGGCAGAGCUGAGAGUUGUGUUCUCCAGGCUGAUACCAAAGUUCAGCUCCUUUUUUCUCAACAACAAUUUUCUUGGGUUUCCAUUAAUUCAGUCUUAUAUUUAUUGAGAUAUGAUUUAGUAUACAAUAAAAUUCAUCAUACUGCAUUCUUAUUCCUAAAAUAGAAUGCUGUAUUAUUUAUGUGAAUUUCAAGUUUAAAUUAAUGUUUAAAACGUUUGUUUUGUUUUUUGGUACUGGGGAUUGAACCCAGGGGCACUAAACCACUAAGCCACUAAGCCCUUCUUAUAUUUCAUUGAGAGACAGAGUCUCUCUAAGUUGCUUAAGGCCUCACUAAGUUGCUAAGGCUGGCUUUGAACUCGCAAUCUUCCUGUCUCAGCCUCCUGAGCCUCUGGUGUUUAAAAGUUUUGAAAAGAAAAGAGAAACCCUUCUUUUCCUAAGUAAUCUUGUAGAUUGUUUUUAAUUGCAUGUAUGAAACAUUCCAUUCAUGGGCAAAAUAUUUUCUGUCCCCUUUUUCAUAGGAGCCCCACUGAUCAUUUCUAACCUUGACUUAAUAUCCAAAUAUGAAUAGUGGCAGGUAGUAAUAAUCCAGACAAGAUUAUGUUCCUAGACAUAUUUUUCUGAAUAAUUUUCUGUAAUUCAAAUAGUCAUCACAUUUAUAAUAUAAUCUCAUAAGUAAGAAUAAUUUUAGAACCUAAUUCUAAAUUCUAAAAGUCUUGGUUUUACAAGUAGUUC
rnacentral:lncRNA from 1 species